GGAGGGAUACCCGAGUGGUCAAAGGGAGAAGACUGUAAAUCUGCCGGCGAUAGCCUACGGAGGUUCAAAUCCUCCUCCCUCCACCA
rnacentral:tRNA from 1 species